AGAGUUUGAUCCUGGCUCAGAGCGAACGCUGGCGGCACGCCUAACACAUGCAAGUCGAGCGAGAAAGUGACUUCGGUCGCGAGUAAAGCGGCGAACGGGUGAGUACAACGUGGAUAAUCUACCCUAAGGUCUGGGACAACCCCGAGAAAUCGGGGCUAAUACCGGAUAAGACCACAGUAUCCAAGGAUACAGCGGUAAAAGAUUUAUCGCCUUUGGAUGAGUCCACGCCCCAUCAGGUAGUUGGUAAGGUAAAGGCUUACCAAGCCUAAGACGGGUAGCCGGCCUUAGCGGGUGAACGGCCACAUGGGGACUGAGACACGGCCCUGACUCCUACGGGAGGCAGCAGUGGGGAAUAUUGGGCAAUGGGCGAAAGCCUGACCCAGCGAUGCCGCGUGAGGGAUGAAGGCCUUCGGGUUGUAAACCUCUGUCAGGAGGGACGAUGGGACUUUGUCUUGACGGUACCUCCAGAGGAAGCCCCGGCUAACUCCGUGCCAGCAGCCGCGGUAAUACGGAGGGGGCAAGCGUUGCUCGGAAUUACUGGGCGUAAAGGGUCCGCAGGCUGUCAGGCAAGUUGGUUG
rnacentral:rRNA from 1 species